rnacentral:rRNA from 1 species
GACGGAGGGGGCUAGCGGUGUUCGGAAUGACUGGGUGUAAAGGGCGCGUAGGCGGUAUUUUAAGUGAGGCGUGAAAGCCCUGGGCUUAACCCAGGAGGUGCGUUUCAUACUGGAAUACUUGAGUGCGAGAGAGGAAAGUGGAAUUCCUAGUGUAGAGGUGAAAUUCGUAGAUAUUAGGAAGAACACCAGAGGCGAAGGCGGCUUUCUGGCUCGCAACUGACGCUGAGGCGCGAAAGCGUGGGGAGCAAACAGG